rnacentral:rRNA from 1 species
CGGGACACGUGGUAUCCUGUCUGAAUAUGGGGGGACCAUCCUCCAAGGCUAAAUACUCCUGACUGACCGAUAGUGAACCAGUACCGUGAGGGAAAGGCGAAAAGAACCCCGGCGAGGGGAGUGAAAAAGAACCUGAAACCGUGUACGUACAAGCAGUGGGAGCACGCUUAGGCGUGUGACUGCGUACCUUUUGUAUAAUGGGUCAGCGACUUAUAUUCUGUAGCAAGGUUAACCGAAUAGGGGAGCCGAAGGGAAACCGAGUCUUAACUGGGCGUUAAGUUGCAGGGUAUAGACCCGAAACCCGGUGAUCUAGCCAUGGGCAGGUUGAAGGUUGGGUAACACUAACUGGAGGACCGAACCGACUAAUGUUGAAAAAUUAGCGGAUGACUUGUGGCUGGGGGUGAAAGGCCAAUCAAACCGGGAGAUAGCUGGUUCUCCCCGAAAGCUAUUUAGGUAGCGCCUCGUGAAUUCAUCUCCGGGGGUAGAGCACUGUUUCGGCAAGGGGGUCAUCCCGACUUACCAACCCGAUGCAAACUGCGAAUACCGGAGAAUGUUAUCACGGGAGACACACGGCGGGUGCUAACGUCCGUCGUGAAGAGGGAAACAACCCAGACCGCCAGCUAAGGUCCCAAAGUCAUGGUUAAGUGGGAAACGAUGUGGGAAGGCCCAGACAGCCAGGAUGUUGGCUUAGAAGCAGCCAUCAUUUAAAGAAAGCGUAAUAGCUCACUGGUCGAGUCGGCCUGCGCGGAAGAUGUAACGGGGCUAAACCAUGCACCGAAGCUGCGGCAGCGACGCUGAUGCGUUGUUGGGUAGGGGAGCGUUCUGUAAGCCUGUGAAGGUGUGCUGUGAGGCAUGCUGGAGGUAUCAGAAGUGCGAAUGCUGACAUAAGUAACGAUAAAGCGGGUGAAAAGCCCGCUCGCCGGAAGACCAAGGGUUCCUGUCCAACGUUAAUCGGGGCAGGGUGAGUCGACCCCUAAGGCGAGGCCGAAAGGCGUAGUCGAUGGGAAACAGGUUAAUAUUCCUGUACUUGGUGUUACUGCGAAGGGGGGACGGAGAAGGCUAUGUUGGCCGGGCGACGGUUGUCCCGGUUUAAGCGUGUAGGCUGGUUUUCCAGGCAAAUCCGGAAAAUCAAGGCUGAGGCGUGAUGACGAGGCACUACGGUGCUGAAGCAACAAAUGCCCUGCUUCCAGGAAAAGCCUCUAAGCAUCAGGUAACAUCAAAUCGUACCCCAAACCGACACAGGUGGUCAGGUAGAGAAUACCAAGGCGCUUGAGAGAACUCGGGUGAAGGAACUAGGCAAAAUGGUGCCGUAACUUCGGGAGAAGGCACGCUGAUAUGUAGGUGAAGCGACUUGCUCGUGGAGCUGAAAUCAGUCGAAGAUACCAGCUGGCUGCAACUGUUUAUUAAAAACACAGCACUGUGCAAACACGAAAGUGGACGUAUACGGUGUGACGCCUGCCCGGUGCCGGAAGGUUAAUUGAUGGGGUCAGCGCAAGCGAAGCUCUUGAUCGAAGCCCCGGUAAACGGCGGCCGUAACUAUAACGGUCCUAAGGUAGCGAAAUUCCUUGUCGGGUAAGUUCCGACCUGCACGAAUGGCGUAAUGAUGGCCAGGCUGUCUCCACCCGAGACUCAGUGAAAUUGAACUCGCUGUGAAGAUGCAGUGUACCCGCGGCAAGACGGAAAGACCCCGUGAACCUUUACUAUAGCUUGACACUGAACAUUGAGCCUUGAUGUGUAGGAUAGGUGGGAGGCUUUGAAGUGUGGACGCCAGUCUGCAUGGAGCCGGCCUUGAAAUACCACCCUUUAAUGUUUGAUGUUCUAACGUUGACCCGUGAUCCGGGUUGCGGACAGUGUCUGGUGGGUAGUUUGACUGGGGCGGUCUCCUCCUAAAGAGUAACGGAGGAGCACGAAGGUUGGCUAAUCCUGGUCGGACAUCAGGAGGUUAGUGCAAUGGCAUAAGCCAGCUUGACUGCGAGCGUGACGGCGCGAGCAGGUGCGAAAGCAGGUCAUAGUGAUCCGGUGGUUCUGAAUGGAAGGGCCAUCGCUCAACGGAUAAAAGGUACUCCGGGGAUAACAGGCUGAUACCGCCCAAGAGUUCAUAUCGACGGCGGUGUUUGGCACCUCGAUGUCGGCUCAUCACAUCCUGGGGCUGAAGUAGGUCCCAAGGGUAUGGCUGUUCGCCAUUUAAAGUGGUACGCGAGCUGGGUUUAGAACGUCGUGAGACAGUUCGGUCCCUAUCUGCCGUGGGCGCUGGAGAACUGAGGGGGGCUGCUCCUAGUACGAGAGGACCGG